UGGCAUGUUGUCGGCGGUCAGUGAGGAGAGUUCCGGAGAGCUGGAGACUCUGGAAAACCCGGAGACCAAGCCGAGCCGAAUGCAGUCGCCAGUGCGGAGCAGAAAGCCUUGGGUCACGAGCCACCAGCUGCCAGUAACUCGAAGGGAAAAAAUAGUUACCACAAAAUACACCACUGCUCCAGAAUUACCAAAUAAUUGUAGAUAAUUUAUAGAAACCAAUUACCGAAUAGUAAUUCUAGAAAAACGAAUAACUAAAGGAAUCCCCUUCAGUCGUGUGAAUCCUACGAAAAACCCUCGACACGUGAUGCAACUAACGUAUGGAUGGGGACACCAAGUGAUUAAAGUGAAUUUUUGUGGGGUCAGCUAGCCAAAAAUCGAUAGGUUGGCCUAUCCGAAAGACGUGUCCUCCAGCUGGAAACGUGCGCAGCCUGCAAAGUUCCUUAGGACCAAAGGAAAAGUCAGAGGAAAAUCUCAACCUACGCAGGGUUAUAUAACAUACAACACCGCCCACGCAGUUUUGCAGCUAAAUCGAUAGACUAAAAACCGCGACAUGACGAGCUUCUAAUUGGAUUGCACGCGAGGGAUUAACCACUGGGCUUUAGAGGCGGCACCACCACCACUACUACUAAUACCAGGAAUUACAGGGUAGUUGAAGGUAGUUUUCCAAAGAGAUGGGCAAGAAGAAGGUGCCCGUUGAGGACCUAGUGGUCCCACCGCAGGACACACGGAUAUGCGGCACCAUAUGCAUUUGCCAGAUGACCCUGGUCCUGAGCUCCGUGGCCCUGGUCUACCUAACGGUGGCCAUUUACAUGCCCUCCACCAGGGCCUUCAAAAGCGGCAUCGAUCCCACGCCGGUCAUGUGCACCACCACGCGGGCGGUGAACAAGGAUAACUGCGAGUGGGGCAGCUGCGGGGAGUGGUGCCUGAGCAAGACCUCCGGUGCCUGCAUCCAGAUCUACGUGAAUCUCCGCAGCAACGGCAGCAAUCUUAUAUUCCAGAACUGCACCAAUUCGGCGAAUAAAACAUGCUAUGGCAUUGACCAGGAUCGGGCGGACAAGGCCAGGUGCAUCAACGAUGAGUGCAAGAAUCUCACGGGAACCUUCAACUGCACCGCUGGCCAGUGCCUGAACAUCACGGAUGCCUUCGAGUGUGUCUUCCACAACAGCGAUGCACCUGUGAAGUGUUCCGGAAGGCGGGGAAAGAUCAACUGCAUGGACAUCAGUGGUCUGUACUCGUGUAGUCGUGGGACCUGCCGGAAGAUAAGGACUCCCUACAACUGCGACCGGAGGUGUGUGGAUAUACCCACCCGGAACAAGAACGUGGUGGUUCUCAGUGGUGACAAGGUCUAUCUAUCCCAGUGUCAGAAUGCCAUCAAUGCAGAGACCCUAGAAGAAGUCUGGAACGAAUCGAAUGAUAAUGUGGCCAUGACAUCCUGCUACUUCAUAAAGAACACCUCGGAUCAGGUGGAUGCGGUGGACUGCAUCAAUGGUUCGACCCUGGAGCACAACAUGCUCAGCGAUCUGACCAACUUCACAUAUCUGAGCCACCUGCACGUUUCGGUGGCCACCCCGGUGCCGGAAAUAGCACCACCCGAUGUGGAUCUGACCAUUUCCAAUGAGUCCAAGCUGAUGAUAAAUCUAGAGGGGUGUGUGAACACCCUGAUGGACGAGUGCAAGGAGUUUCUCAAGGACUUCGGGCGGGAUGGCAGCGAUCACAAUGCCAGGGCUCGGUUCCCGUGCUUCUAUUCGCCCGGCAAGAAGGAUGUGGUGGUGGCCCGUUUUGACCUGGAGGUCACCUAUCGCCAGUUUGUGUUCGCCUCGGUGGUGCCAUCGGUACUGUUUGUGGUCUCCUGUUCGAUCCUCAUCAUGUGCCAGACUACCGUCUAUGUGGGCGAUGAUGCCAAGAUGCGGUUCAAGGGAUGUGUGGACACGGAUACCGUCUUGAAUAAGAAUAACGUGGGCGCACCCACCAACGGCGACAUGGGCGGGGGCGGCGGCGAUGAGGUUAUGGCCCUAUGAGAUCCGUCACUCUUCGCGGUAGCCCACAUGUGAGAGGUCUACCAGGUGUUCUAGGCAUUCCUCUGCUCCAGGAAGACAGUCCGACACACCAGACGGGAGUCUUCGCUUUGCAAUAAUUGGAGUUGGGCACCAGCUGAAGUCAGAAACACAAUCGAGCAACUUGAAAUUCUUUGUAAUCCUUCCAUCGAACUUUUGACACUGCAAACACCCAGAAACACACAGAAAGACACAGAGACACGGACCACACCUCAGAGGCUUGCAAGGACACUCCUGAGCUAACCAGGAAAUACUGAAACUCAAACCGAAACCAAAAACCGAUAUCCCAUGCGAGGCGCUUGACAUUCUCAAGAUACGACGAUCGGCAGAUCUGAAGACAAUAUUAGUAUAAUUUUCGACUCCUAAGUUGAGCAAUUUUUUGGGACUAGGGCCAGAGGCUACAGGACUUGUAGGAUAACAGGAGAUUUAAGGGCGGUGCGAGAGAUUAAAUUUAAAAUUGUUGCUAUUAUGGAACUUAGUUUUAUCUAGGAAAUAAAUGCGCACAAACCCACACCCAAAUGCACAGUACACACAAACACACACAGAGAUACACCCACACACACACACCAGACACCAGAAUCGGCUGAAGAUAUAAAAGAUUUAUAGAACCAGGUUCAGUCACCGGGAGAGAAGGCAGAGAAAUUCAAAAAUGGCUUAGAGUGAGGGAUGCGUGAUCAAAAAAAAAAAUCUAAAAGAAAUCUCGUAACGACAUCUAGUCGAUGAAGUCAAAGCAAAAAGUUAACCCCCCAAAAGGCUAACAGAAAACAUAAGCAUUAAUUUAGAUAACAAAAAAAAAA